UUCUCUACUAAACUUUUAAAUCUGUUCUUAUCAGUUUAAUCUCUGAUAGGUAGGUCCUUGAUGUGAGGACUGUAGAUUAGCUUGGUUAUUUGAAAGGAGGAGGGUUAGAGAAGAAGCUUGCUUUGUCUGCCCCAUGCAUGGACCUGGUAUUGCAAUGCUUCCAGGAACGGUGUAUCUCCU
ensembl:snRNA U2 U2 spliceosomal RNA